UACAGAGGGUGCAAACGUUGUUCGGAAUUACUGGGCGUAAAGCGAGUGUAGGCGGUCUGAAAAGUCGGAUGUGAAAUCCCCAGGCUCAACUUGGGAACUGCAUCCGAUACUGGAUGGCUUGAAUUCGGGAGAGGGAUGCAGAAUUCCAGGUGUAGCGGUGAAAUGCGUAGAUAUCUGGAGGAAUACCGGUGGCGAAGGCGGCAUCCUGGACCGACAUUGACGCUGAGGAGCGAAAGCUAGGGGAGCAAACGGG
rnacentral:rRNA from 1 species